GGGCACUUUGCUUUCUCCUCUUGUUGUAUUAUUAUUAUAAAUAUUAUUACUUUGAAUAGGUGAUAGCCACGUGGCUACGAUAUAAAAUGACAUUCAGUAGAAAAGAAGAAAAGGUAUUAAAUACCCUUGGACACCACCCUGUCAUCACAUGCCCUGCUCCCCACCUUCCCUCUGAGCUGGAAACUACUUUUAACUGGUUUCUUGUCUUUCCAGAGAUUCUAGACGCAGAAAGCCGGUGCGAGUGUAGUGUCUUCUUAGGGGGCAAUUUCUAAGACAGAGCACCUGCACCACCUCCCCCUCAGCCCUGCCAGGACGCCGAUGCUGCUCUUCUGACCGGAUCCGAAUCCUGCCAUCCCUCCCCCGGGGCAGCGCUCAGCGGGGCAGUGUGACAGCUGGAGAGGGAUCUGUAACAGCCUGCGGAGUUUACUGAGCUUCAGAGGGAAAGGCCUUGUCCAGAUGGCCUGCCCUAAAAGCCCAGAGGCAGCAACAUCAACCGUUCAGAGACAAGUCCAUUAGGGUCUCCCAGCCACAAGGCAAACGGAUGCUAGCAACCAAGUCGUGCUACUCACCCGUCCCUAAACAAACGCCUUCAGCAAAACCUGUUACAGAAAUCACUGAACAAACAUGCGGCGGUGCCCUCAGCUCAUCGCAAAGGCCCAGAGCUGCAGAAAGCGUUCCAGGCUGGCCGCAGAAGCAGAAGAAAACACGCUGCCUGGGGUGACCAGGCCAGGUGAGCUCCUAGCAACCUCCCCGGGCCACGAGAGCACCUUUAUUGACCUUCCCCAGGAAAGGGCCACUCUCCGCGCUGACCUGCGGCCGAGCUGUCACACUUAGGCACCUCUGUCCUUGUUCCCCAAGGGCUGUGACCAUCAGAACCCAAAGCAGAGGGAGCCACCUCACCCUGGCUGACUCGCCGGGACGACGGUCAUGGCUGACGCUGGCCCCAGGAGCCUCUCUGGGGAGCAGCAGGUGGCUCCCGGGGCCCCAGCUCCCCCCGGCCAACUGCCUCUCACUGUCAGCCUCUGAACUGAGUCCAAGAGAAGGCUGCCCUCAGCCACGUUUUAUUUGUGGCCUCAUCAGGGUUAAAAGGAGUUUCUAUUCUAAACCAAUUUACACUCAAAUUGUUGCAAAGGCAAACAGUUCCAGAAAACGAACCAUAUUUGGCCUGAGUGACUCUGAAAAGUUUGAGCAGAAUCAGUGUAGGAACAGCUCUCUGCACCAGGACAAGUUCCCAAGACACACACCCACCAGGUGAAGGGCAGAGGAAGGCAGAGAGGAGCGCUGGACCAGCUGUGAUCCGGCCACCAGACUUGCCGUGUCCCCACUCAGCUGUACCCGGGAUGCCCUGACCCGCGCCCAGAAGCCAGGCCACACCCAGGAGGGGAGCCGGCUCAGCCUGCGAGGAGGCCCAGCCCCUGCGGCGUGCCCUCCCCUGGGGCGUCAGAACUGCCGGGGCCUGUGGCUCCUGAAGCAGCCAGCGACAACAGAACAGACUGGAGAAAGGUCCAACUACCCAACAAGAGACUAACCUCUAAGGAAUCCAACCUAGUUGAUCGAAAACCUGGUUCCUGUCACCACCACUCUCCCAGACCCCAGCCUCGCAUCUUGGAGCCGGCAUGGACCUCAGCACCAUGCUCCCAACCCGGACCAAAAGGUGACACGGGGGGCGAAGGAGCUCUACAGACACACAAGGGGAGACAAUGGUGUGGGGCACGAAAGCAGCCGUCACAGGAACAGACCAGAGUGACCCUUCCCUGAUGGCAUGGAGGCCGGGAACGACACUUCAGAGGGACGUUCGGCGCAGGGGUCCGGCUUGAACAACGGGGCAUCCGCCCCCAGGCCUGGCACUCCACCACAGAGGCCAAGCCUGGCCCGGCCACUUGGACAACGAAAACGCUCUCAAACCUGAUUUCACAGCUGAUCUUCGCUCUAAUUGGGAGGACGUGAGGCAGGUGGGGAGCCCCUAGUCACAACGGUCAUUCACUCAAAACCCACUUGCUUGGCCAUUUCCCCAGCUGCCCCUCAGAAGGGAGUCCCUUGUGGAGGGAGGGGGGGCUGUUAAAGAGAGGGCUGCGAGUGGCUCCCAAGAGAAGCAGCAGGAUUCUAACUGCUACGUAUCCCUGAGCUGCCGGCCACGGUCCAGCCGCCGCCAUGCCUUUCCUCACCCGGGGUAGGGUCCCCGGGAACAAGCGGGUCAGCACCAGCCAGGCUGGGAACAGCUCUGGGCCACAGCCAUUUUUUUCCAACAAGUUUAAAGUCUCCCUUUUGACCUGUUCUCUUAGAGAAAGCACCGGAGUCAGGGCCUGCCGAGCUCAGGGGAUCCAGGAGAGCCAGCAGCCAGGGGGAGCUGAGAGAAAGGGGAGCUGAGAGAAAGAGCCCCUAAAACAAACACCAAAGCUCCAAUGAGAUUGCCAAGAACUCGGCCGCUUGAAGAGGCAGCCGUAGCACAGCCCCAGGCUGCAGAGGACCUCGUGGGGUCUUACCUGUGUGGAGUCCGUGACAGAGGCCAGCUGCAGGUACUCGGAGUUCCCCCACCCGAAGAGGCUGCCAUCGACCGACACAGCCAGGCAGCAGUCCCCGUAGGUGGCCACCUGGACAACGUUCACUCCGGCAAGGUCUCCAGCCAGCUUGGUGGGUGCGCUGGUGAUAUUGUAGUGACCCAGACCUGGAACAAUGGAAAACUGUGUUACUUA